rnacentral:lncRNA from 1 species
GUCACUCUGGUGGUCACUCUAGUGGUCACCCUAGUGGUCAUUCCAGUGGUGGUCAGUCCACUGGUGGUCACUCUAGUGGUCACUGUGGUGGUGGUCACUCUAGUGGUCACUGUGGUGGUCACUCCACCGGUGGUCACUGCAGUGGUCACUCCGGUGGUCACUCCGGUGGUCACUCCGGUGGUCACUCCAGUGGUGGUCACUCCACUGGUGGCCACUCUGGUGGUCACACUGGUGGUCACUGCAGUGGUCACUCUGGUGGUCACUCCGGUGGUCACUCCAGUGGUGGUCACUCUGGUGGUCACUCUGGUGGUCACUCUGGUGGUCACUCCGGUGGUCACUCUGGUGGUCACUGGUGGUCACUCCGGUGGUCACUCCAGUGGUCACUCUGGUGGUGGUCAGUCCCCGCCGGACGCGGGGGGUGGUGGGAAAUAAACGCCGGCCUGAGCCCGGCUACGGCCACUGGGUGGUCAGUGGUCAUUCAAGGGGUCACUGGGUGGUCAGUGGUCACUCAAGGGGUCACUGGGUGGUCAGUGGUCAUUCAAGGGGUGGUCAGUGGUCACUCAAGGGGUCACUGGGUGGUCAGUGGUCACUCAAGGGGUCA